CCCGGGCCGGGCUACCGGGAGGAGGCCGUGCGGGUGGCGCUGGGGCAGCGGCCGGGAUGUCCGGCCGGCUGGCAUCUCGCGCGCGCGCGUACGCAUCAUCCCGCCGGCGGACCCAGAGCCGAAGUCCCGCUUUGCGCGCACCGGGAGGUGUGAGGCCCGCGGUGGCAGUUCGCGCCGCGCUGGGGUUUGGGUUGCUAUGCCAAACUGUUGCUUUCGCCGAGCUUCUUUAAGAGGAACCGACCCCGAGAGGGUUGGGAAAACACUACAAGAAAACUUUAGGAAAGGGGUUGCAGAUAAUGUGAGCUGUGGAUGGUGGUGAUCCAAAAAGGCUAUUCGUGCGUCUAUAAAUGGCAAAAAUCGAACUUUGCGUUUUUUUCCCUAGCCAACAGUUUUGAAACUCUGCGUCCUGGAACUUGGGAGGGGAGGGGAUCUUCAUCAGGUUAUCAGGGGAGAAACAGUCUAUGGGCAGUAGAUCGGUAUUUAUUCCAGGAGCGCUCUGUUGUUAAAAUCACAAAGUGAAGUUGGGUCACGUGGGUAGUACUCACUUUCCCUCCUCUUCAGUGGUGCCCAAAUCCUGCUCGGAAAAUCUCCGAUGAUCGCCAUCGUCUGUCAAAUCUGCAAACCCAAGGCUGCUUCAGGGGAGCUAAGGAAGCCCCUCUGCCUCCUCCCCAACUCUGAGAACGAAACUUUUGCCUUUGAUAACUUAGAGCAAAUAUGUGUCCACUGACGGGUAACUUUAAGGAGAAAAAAGAGCGUCUGCCUAGUUUAUCACCCCCCUUACCAAUAUCACUAAAACCUUCGCAGUUAUCUAAUUUAAGCUGCCAGUUUUCAGGGGCCUGAAAAAGUAAAGUUUAGUAUACAGGCUCUGUGUGUCUGGGAAGAAAAAGAAAGGAAAAAAAAGACCAAAAUACGUUUUCAAAAUCCAAAAGAAAGCUUGUAAAUUGAUGAAUUUGCUGCUAUAAAAAUGUCGGGUGGAACAUUUGUGUCUUUCAGAAUUGUAGCAGUUUGAUUAUGGGGGUACCAGAAAGGAGUAGAAAAAUAAUCUAGAUACACAUUAACCAGCCACAUAAGUAGUGUUUAUGCUAUAUUUAUCUGUCCCGUGGUCAAGACGCAUCACCCAUUACCUGUCACAGAUUAUAAAGUGAUUUGCAAUAAAUUAUAUCAUUUCUAUGUGAUGGUGUUAUGCAGCCAUUAUAACAUUUUGUCUAAUAGUUGAAUAGAAUAUGCUUAGCUAUAAAAAUGAGUAUUUUUUGAAAUGUGACACCUUAACAGUGGAAUUACAUGUGACUUAUUUUCUUUAUGCUUUUCUAUGCUUUGCAAAAUUUCUAAUUAAACAUAAAAAAAACCUUGAGCAAAAAAAAAAAGUUAAAAGUCAAUUAGGCUGUACUGUGAAAUGGUAUAGAAUAAUAAUAAAGCACAACCAUAAGAACAAAACUAAAUAUACAUUAUGAGUGACACUAUGCCAUAAAAACUGAAAUGAAACAAAACUAAUAUUUGAGGUAUUUGAAUGGUAAAAUUGGAGGCAUAUAAUCAUUUCCAGAAGAUCUUUUCCUACUUUUGCAUAAGGAUAUUGUUACAGAUUAGAAAAUGAAUAUUUUCUAAUUUAUGGGAGUUUGGACUUGGAAAAUGAAUAUUCCCAUAAACCUGAAAAGACUUUAUGUCAGAUAUGUAAGAGUUAUAAAUGUUUGCUGACUGGAUUUGGAGUUUUUUUUCUAAUGUAAAUAUAUGCUGUGUCAUACAUAACAUUAAAGUUCAAAGUGGUC
rnacentral:lncRNA from 1 species